GACGAACCGUGCAAACGUUGUUCGGAAUCACUGGGCUUAAAGGGCGCGUAGGCGGGUUUCCAAGUCUGUGGUGAAAUCCUCCAGCUUAACUGGAGAAGUGCCGUGGAUACUGGGAAUCUCGAGGAGGGUAGGGGCAUCUGGAACUGCCGGUGGAGCGGUGAAAUGCGCAGAUAUCAGGAGGAACACCGGUGGCGAAGGCGGGUCUCUGGGCCGAUACUGACGCUGAGGAGCGAAAGCGUGGGGAGCGAACAGG
rnacentral:rRNA from 1 species